rnacentral:rRNA from 1 species
UACAGAGGGUGCGAGCGUUGUUCGGAAUUAUUGGGCGUAAAGCGCUUGUAGGCGGCACGUCAAGUCGCGUGUGAAAUCCCCAGGCUUAACCUGGGAAGUGCGCGCGAAACUGACGAGCUUGAGUGCCGGAGAGGGUCGCGGAAUUCCCGGUGUAGAGGUGAAAUUCGUAGAUAUCGGGAGGAACACCGGUGGCGAAGGCGGUCUGCUGGGGUCGAACUGACGCUGAGGCGCGACAGCGUGGGGAGCAAACAGG